rnacentral:rRNA from 1 species
GACGAACGCUGGCGGCGUGCUUAACACAUGCAAGUCGAACGCUGAACCCGCGUCGGUGGGGGUUGGGUGGCGAACGGGUGAGUAGCACGUGGGCAACCUGCCCCCGCCUCUGGGAUAACUCCAAGAAAUUGGGGCUAAUACCGGAUGUGACCGCUAGCCGCAUGGUCUGGUGGUGGUAAGGGUGUCCGGCUGUGGAUGGGCCCGCGGCUUAUCGGCUUGUUGGUGGGGUAGUGGCAAACCAAGGGGCCGACCGGUAGCCGGCAUGGGAGGGGGACCGGCCACACGGGGCCUAAGAGAGGCACCAGUAGCGAACGGGAGGCAGUAGUGGAGAGUAUUGCGGAAUGGGCGGACGCGUGACGCAGCGACGCCGGGUGCGGGAUGACGGCCUUCGGGUGGUAAACCUCUUUCAGCGGGGCCGAAGCGGACGUGACGGUACCUGAAGAAGAAGCACCGGCCAACUACGUG